UACUACUUUUGUGAUCAGGAAAUAAAUUUUAACUGUUAAAGGUGGAGUGGGAUAGCUCGAGAAGACUCGAGCUAACAACUACUAGACUUGAACUUCACAAGGUUGGGCAUCAUGUGGCCAUUUUGUUUAUUGCUUCAGCCCAGAAUCAAAAGCAAGGCCAAGCACAUGGUCUCUUUCAGAUGCUCCUUCAAGAAAACAGUCUGUUCCCACAGCCAACAUAAUACUCAAUGGUGAAAAGCUAAAAGACUUCCCUCUGAAAUCUGGAACAUGACAAGGAUGCCCACUCUUGCCACUUCUAUUCAACAUAGUAUUGGAAGUCCUAGCCACAGCAAUCAGACAAGAAAAAGAAAUAAAAGCUUCAGAAGUGGCUGGUCAGGACUUCCCUGGUGGAACAGUGGUUAAGAAUCCGCCUGCCAACGGGUUCCAGCCCCGGUCCGGGAAGAUCCCACAUGCCGUGGAGCAACUAAGUCCGUGCGCAGCCAACUACUGAGCUUGCGCUCUAGAGCCCGUGAGCCACAACUAGUGAAGCCCGCGCCUAGAGCUGUGCUCUGCAACAAGAGAAGCCACUGCAGUGAGAAGCCCGCACACCGCAAUGAAGAGUAGCCCCCGCUCGCCACAACUAGAGAAAGCCCACGCAUAGCAAUGGAGACCCAACGCAGCCAUAAAUAAACAAACAAACAAACAAAUAAAUAAAAUGAUAUGGAGCAAGUUAACAAUAGUUUAAAAAAAAAAGAAGUGGCCGGUCAUGUAAAAUGUACAGUGAUAUCAGAUUAUGUUAUAAUUAUCCUCAUUAAAUACACGCUGCUUGUGGUUAAAGAUAGAUGAUAGGUAGAUAAACAGAUAGUUAGAUAAUGAAGAAUUAUUUUAAGGCCAGAAUUAAAUUUAGGAAUAGAAUGGGUUUUGAAUAACGUUUUAAGCCAGAAACCUACUCUCUUGGUUAAAAAGGACCAGCAAGUGACCCAGGCAUGUUUUAUUUAUUAUUUUUAUUUUUUUCAGAGAUAUUUUUUAUUUCAUACUCUCACUAACGCUCUUUGGAGAUAA